AUGAGCACGGAGGUAGCGUCACUGCCGCACAACACAACGAGCGCCCGCCUCGCCGCACGCAUUGCCGGAGCCGCGCCAGCCACAACAUGGUCAAAGCUUCAUUGGAGCGUCGCCGCCGCGACUAGCCACGACAGUGCCCUCCUCGCAGCACUGCCUCUGAAGCGCCGGCCACGACAUGGUCGACACUUCAAUGCAGCAUCGUUGCCUCGACUCGUCACGCCCACAACAGCGUCCUCCUCGCAGCACUGUCGGCGAAGCUUCGUCCACGGCAUGGUCGACGCUUCAAUGCAGCGUCACCGCCUCGACUAG
rnacentral:rRNA from 1 species